CGCCAGGGGACUACAAGCCAAGCUUCAAACCCAAAGGAUUUGACGGUGUCCCACCCAUCUAGAGGAGCCUGUCCUAUAAUCGAUGAUCCGCGCUUUACCUUACCACUCUUUGCUCUCAGCCUGUAUACCUCCGUCGCAAGCCUACCAUGUGAAUGAAACAGUACGCUUAAUGAUCUUUUCAUCAACACGUCAGGUCAAGGUGCAGCUUAUAAAGUGGCCAGAGAUGGGCUACAAUUUCUAUAAUAGAACAAACGAAACAGCUAGAUGAAACCUGCUGUGAAGGCGGAUUUAGUAGUAAAAAGAAAAUAGAACAUUCUUUUUAACUCGGCCCUGGGACGUGU
rnacentral:rRNA from 1 species